rnacentral:rRNA from 1 species
GACGGAGGGGGCGAGCGUUGUUCGGAAUUAUUGGGCGUAAAGGGCGCGUAGGCGGACCCGUGUGUCUGGCGUGAAAUCUCCACUGCUCAACAGGGAGAGGUCGCUGGAAACUGCGGAUCUUGAGUUCGGUAGAGGAUCGUGGAAUUCUAGGUGUAGCGGUAAAAUGCGUAGAUAUCUGGAAGAACACCGGUGGCGAAGGCGGCGAUCUGGGCCGAAACUGACGCUGAGGCGCGAAAGCCAGGGGA